rnacentral:pre_miRNA from 1 species
UCUGUUAGGUUGGUGCAAAAGUAAUUGCGGUUUUUGCCAUUGCUUUUAAUGGCAAAAACUGCAAUUACUUUUGCACCAACCUAAUA